rnacentral:rRNA from 1 species
CCUACGGGUGGCUGCAGUGAGGAAUAUUGGUCAAUGGGCGGGAGCCUGAACCAGCCAAGUCGCGUGAGGGACGACGGUCCUAUGGAUUGUAAACCUCUUUUGUCGGGGAACAAAGGCGUCCACGGGUGGGCGGAUGAGUGUACCUGAAGAAAAAGCAUCGGCUAACUCCGUGCCAGCAGCCGCGGUAAUACGGAGGAUGCGAGCGUUAUCCGGAUUUAUUGGGUUUAAAGGGUGCGUAGGCGGAAUAUCAAGUCAGCGGUAAAAAUUCGGGGCUCAACCCCGUCGUGCCGUUGAAACUGAUGGUCUUGAGUGGGCGAGAAGUAGGCGGAAUGCGUGGUGUAGCGGUGAAAUGCAUAGAUAUCACGCAGAACUCCGAUUGCGAAGGCAGCAUACCGGCGCCCAACUGACGCUGAAGCACGAAAGCGUGGGUAUCGAACAGGAUUAGAUACCCGAGUAGUC